rnacentral:rRNA from 1 species
GACGGAGGAUGCAAGUGUUAUCCGGAAUCACUGGGCGUAAAGCGUCUGUAGGUGGUUUCAAAAGUCCACUGUUAAAGAUUGAAGCUUAACUUCAAAAAUGCCGUGGAAACUUUGAAACUUGAGUAUGAUAGGGGUAGAGGGAAUUUCCAGUGGAGCGGUGAAAUGCGUAGAUAUUGGAAAGACCACCAAUGGCGAAGGCACUCUACUGGGCCAUUACUGACACUGAGGCGCGAAAGCGUGGGGAGCAAACAGG